rnacentral:rRNA from 1 species
AUGUUUGUUGCAGAGAAUAUGUCGGAAGAACUGGCGAUCCUGGGACGAACUAGGGUACGUGGAGAUUCGUCGCAGUCUCACCAACAAACCAUUAUUGACUCUAGCCCGCAAAUGUCGAUUGAUGAUUUGUUGAAGGAAAUUAAUGGAGCCAAUGGCAUGCCGGUGCUCUUCGUCCCUUCCUCCGACGGGCGGCUAGUGGCCGUGCCGGUACCCGUGAAUGGCCUCCAGAAUCUGGCCCUUGCAAAUCGCGCCCACGAUGAGUCUGCCAAAAAGAAGCAGCAGGAUUUCCGUGCCUGGCUACUGCUACUGGCUUCACUAAUUGCCACCGUCACCUUCACCGCAGGGCUCACCCCACCUGAUGGUUUCUGGGGCGAGGACAAGGAUGGACACAUCGGUGGUAACCCAAUUAUGCGUGACAAAUUUCCUAGGAGGUACCGCAUAUAUGUGGGAAGCAACAGGAUGGCCUUCUGCUUCUCCAUGGUAAUCAUUGGAAUACUCGCCAAUAACAUAGCUAACAAGCUGAGCAAACUCGUGAGGUUUUUUUUUUUGCCAUUAUUGGUACCUUGUUGUCUUCUGAGCUUGACGACUAGCUUCAUCAGCGGCACGUGGGACUACUCUAAAGAUGAUACCUACUCAUGUGUUACGUUUGUAGCCGCUUUUCUCAGUUUGGCCAUUCUUUGGGGUUCGGGUUUGAUUGAGCCGAUAAUUGAAAGACACGAGCGAUCCACGGAAUCCUCCGCUUAA